AUGUUGACAUCGUUAACCGUUCACGAAACUUUUGACAUGGCGAAACGGCGGAGGGAUCCUCUUUACAACUCCAAGAUCUCUAUAUUCUUCACCUUACUCCUGCUUAUCGUUGGUUUGCUCGCGUUAUUCACAAUCCUCCAUAAUUGGUUAGGUGUCUUGAGCAUGGUAAGAGAUCACAUCUCUACCAUAUGCAUUGGUGUUGGCCUUUGUCACUAG